UCCCUCAUAGCUCACUCGGUAGAGAAUCUGCCUUCAAUGCAGGAGACCCGGGUUCGAUUCCUGGGUGGGGAA
rnacentral:tRNA from 1 species